rnacentral:lncRNA from 1 species
CCUGCUGUCAUUAAUUUCACUUUUUUUGUGAAUAGAGUUGAGACUAUUUUUUGUGGAAUCUAUCCAAGGCCCUGGUCAAAGAAAAAAAAACACAAAAUACACCCACACACACACAGACGGAGGGAUGCAAGGGGACGGAGAUAGGUGGGUGUUUUGCUAAUCACGCUAAUCACAGGCUGCAAGUGGCCGUCGACUCAGUGGUAGGCGUUCCCUUUUUUCUUAACCCACUAACCCUGGAGAAAAUCGCAUGAAUAUUCUCUGAAUAAAAUAAGCUUCUUGUUUUUAACCUGGAGCAAGUUCAAGGCAUAAAACCGAUGUCACAUUUCUUGUGAGAGUAUAUCAUUUUCAUCCAUAGGAG